AGUGGCAUGUGAUGUGAAAAAAUAUGUAUGCUAUAUACUCAAUGGAAUUUUCCAUGUGUGGACUAAUAAUCUCCGCUUAUUAUCUGAUGCCUUC
rnacentral:snoRNA from 1 species